AUGGACAGCGGCGGCGUGCGGCCAUCGCUUCCGUCCGCGGCGGCGGCGGCGGGAGGAGCCUCCGGCCCGGACGAGCCUCGCGACGCGCGCGCGGUGCGGGAGCUCCUCCGGUCGAUGGGGCUCGGCGAGGGCGAGUACGAGCCGCGCGUAGUGCACCAGUUCCUGGACCUGGCCUACCGCUACGUCCGGGACGUGCUCGGCGACGCCCAGGUCUACGCCGACCACGCGGCCAAGCCCCAGCUCGACGCCGACGACGUUCGCCUCGCCAUCCAGGCCAAGGUCAACUUCUCCUUCUCCCAGCCGCCGCCCCGCGAGGUUCUACUUGAGUUGGCACGCAGCCGGAACAAGAUCCGGCUGCCCAAGUCUAUCGCUCCACCUGGCUCGAUUCCUCUUCCACCUGAGCAGGACACUUUGUUAAGUGAAAACUACCAGCUCCUACCCGCACUGAAGCCACCAACUCAGACUGAAGAAGCAGAAGAUGACAACGAGAGAGCCGACGCAAUCCCUGCCAAUCCCAGUUCAAACUAUUCGCAGGAUCAGAGAGGCAGCGAGCAACAUCAGCCUCAGAGCCAGAGCCAGAGGGUUUCUUUCCAACUGAACGCGGUGGCUGCCGCGGCUGCAAAACGCCCUCUAGUGACAAUUGAUCAGUUGAGCAUGGGCUAA
rnacentral:rRNA from 1 species